GAUGAACGCUAGCUACAGGCUUAACACAUGCAAGUCGAGGGACCGGCGCCCGGGUGAGUAACACGUAUCCAACCUGCCCUUUACUCGGGGAUAGCCUUUCGAAAGAAAGAUUAAUACCCGAUAUCAAGGAUGGGGAUGCGUUCCAUUAGGUUGUUGGUGAGGUAACGGCCCACCAAGCCUUCUAUGGAUAGGGGUUCUGAGAGGAAGGUGCACCACAUUGGAACUGAGACCCGGUCCAAACUCCUACGGGAGGCAGCAGUGAGGAAUAUUGGUCAAUGGGCGUUAGCCUGAACCAGCCAAGUAGCGUGAAGAAUGAAGGCUUAUGGGUCGUAAACUUCUUUUAUAUAAGAAUAUGGAGUAUAUGAAUAAGGAUCGGCUAAAUCCGUGCCAGCAGCCGCGGUAAUUC
rnacentral:rRNA from 1 species